rnacentral:rRNA from 1 species
UGGGGAAUAUUGCACAAUGGGCGCAAGCCUGAUGCAGCCAUGCCGCGUGUGUGAAGAAGGCCUUCGGGUUGUAAAGCACUUUCAGCGAGGAGGAAGGUGGUGAGCUUAAUACGCUCAUCAAUUGACGUUACUCGCAGAAGAAGCACCGGCUAACUCCGUGCCAGCAGCCGCGGUAAUACGGAGGGUGCAAGCGUUAAUCGGAAUUACUGGGCGUAAAGCGCACGCAGGCGGUUUGUUAAGUCAGAUGUGAAAUCCCCGGGCUCAACCUGGGAACUGCAUUUGAAACUGGCAAGCUAGAGUCUCGUAGAGGGGGGUAGAAUUCCAGGUGUAGCGGUGAAAUGCGUAGAGAUCUGGAGGAAUACCGGUGGCGAAGGCGGCCCCCUGGACGAAGACUGACGCUCAGGUGCGAAAGCGUGGGGCAGCAAACAGGAUUAGAUACCCUGGUAGUCCAGCGCUGUAAACGAUGUCGAUUUGGAGGUUGUGCCCCUUGAGGCGUGGCUUCCGGAGCUAACGCGUUAAAUCGACCGCC